rnacentral:pre_miRNA from 1 species
UAAAUACUCCCUCCGUUCCACAAUACAUGCCUUUCAUUUGUCAAAAUAUAGAUGUAUCUAGACAUGUUUUAGUAUAUAGGUACAUCCAUUUUUGGACAAAUGGAAGUCAAGUAUUUUGGAACGGAGGGAGUAUAUC